AGGCUGGCCGGAGGUUCCUGCAGAGGGAGCGUCAAGGCCCUGUGCUGCUGUCCUUGGGGGCCAGAGGGGUUGCCCAUCAUGCCCACUGGCAGGAGAGAGGGAACUGACCCACUUGCUCCUACCAGCUUCUGAAGGUGACACUGAGUCCCAGGUGACGCCGCACCACCAAAGAAGGUGCUUGUGUUUGUCAGACAAAUACAGCCAGGCCUGCCACCCCUUAGGCUCCAAAGUCCGGAGGUGCAGAAAGCCAGGACCAAGAGACAGGCAGCUCACCAGGGUGGACAAAUCGCCAGAGAUGUGGUGCAUUGUCCUGUUUUCACUUUUGGCAUGGGUUUAUGCUGAGCCUACCAUGUAUGGGGAGAUCCUGUCCCCUAACUAUCCUCAGGCAUAUCCCAGUGAGGUAGAGAAAUCUUGGGACAUAGAAGUUCCUGAAGGGUAUGGGAUUCACCUCUACUUCACCCAUCUGGACAUUGAGCUGUCAGAGAACUGUGCGUAUGACUCAGUGCAGGUAUGUUAUAAGCACAAAAAGAAUAGAGAUGGAAGACUAGGGCUAAGGUAGCGGAAUAAGGAUGUGGGAGGGAGUGCCACCUGUACUCACAGUGAACUGGAGUCAAGUCCUAGUGGCAUAAAUGUU
rnacentral:sRNA from 1 species